UGCUGCAUCCCUUCCUACGACACGACUGGCAGAGAGGACAGAUGGCGAGGGGCCGUGGGAAAAUCCCUUGAGCAGAUUUCCCAUCCCAAGAUUCCUCCUUGGUUCACGACAGGAGGUGCCAUCAUCGUCAUUUUCGCCGUCUCAGCACCCAGAAGUUUGCUGGCGAUACAGACGAAACAUCAAUAAUACCAACUCUGCCUACGCUAACCCUGGUUGACUCACACCCAGGCUAGUGUUUAGGUUGUUUGGAAAAUGAGAAAACAGGUCAUAUGGAAUUGAUAGAACGAUGAGUAGGGAAAUCUUCCGAAGCCUCUUCAUCAUCAGAGUCUUCCAUGCUUCCUCCAUCGGAUGGGCUGAAGAUGCACUCCAAAGGACUUGGAAUUUGGAAAACUACAAGAGUCCUGCUUCAAAGGAGUUCACAAUCUAAUAGAAGAAAUAGGGAGAUGGAAAUUAUAAGCAUUCAGUGGAAGAAGAAAGUAGAAAGCUUUAUUAGUAAGGUGUACGGAAAAAAUGAAAUCAGUGAUAAACUAUAUGGCGUUUGGAGCAUUGAUCU